rnacentral:rRNA from 1 species
UACGGGGGGUGCGAGCGUUGUCCGGAAUCACUGGGCGUAAAGGGCGCGUAGGUGGUUUGAUAAGGGUGUGGUGAAAGUCCGGAGCUCAACUCCAGAACUGCCUUUGAUACUGAAGAUCUUGAGUCCGGGAGAGGUGAGUGGAACUGCGAGUGUAGAGGUGAAAUUCGUAGAUAUUCGCAAGAACACCAGUGGCGAAGGCGGCUCACUGGCCCGGUACUGACGCUGAGGCACGAAAGCGUGGGGAGCAAACAGG